CUCUGUCUCAAAAAUAAAAUAAAAUUGGAAUGAUACAGAGAAGAUUAGCAUGACUCCUUUAAAGGAAAGACGUGGUCCGUGUCCUCAAGGGACUCAAGAGUCU
ensembl:snRNA U6 U6 spliceosomal RNA